AUUCUGGCUCAGGAUGAACGCUGGCGGCGUGCUUAACACAUGCAAGUCGAACGGGAUCCAUCAGGCUUUGCUUGGUGGUGAGAGUGGCGAACGGGUGAGUAAUGCGUGACCGACCUGCCCCAUACACCGGAAUAGCUCCUGGAAACGGGUGGUAAUGCCGGAUGCUCCAGUUGAUCGCAUGGUCUUCUGGGAAAGCUUUCGCGGUAUGGGAUGGGGUCGCGUCCUAUCAGCUUGACGGCGGGGUAACGGCCCACCGUGGCUUCGACGGGUAGCCGGCCUGAGAGGGCGACCGGCCACAUUGGGACUGAGAUACGGCCCAGACUCCUACGGGAGGCAGCAGUGGGGAAUAUUGCACAAUGGGCGCAAGCCUGAUGCAGCCAUGCCGCGUGUAUGAAGAAGGCCUUCGGGUUGUAAAGUACUUUCAGCGGGGAGGAAGGGAGUAAAGUUAAUACCUUUGCUCAUUGACGUUACCCGCAGAAGAAGCACCGGCUAACUCCGUGCCAGCAGCCGCGGUAAUACGGAGGGUGCAAGCGUUAAUCGGAAUUACUGGGCGUAAAGCGCACGCAGGCGGUUUGUUAAGUCAGAUGUGAAAUCCCCGGGCUCAACCUGGGAACUGCAUCUGAUACUGGCAAGCUUGAGUCUCGUAGAGGGGGGUAGAAUUCCAGGUGUAGCGGUGAAAUGCGUAGAGAUCUGGAGGAAUACCGGUGGCGAAGGCGGCCCCCUGGACGAAGACUGACGCUCAGGUGCGAAAGCGUGGGGAGCAAACAGGAUUAGAUACCCUGGUAGUCCACGCCGUAAACGAUGAGUGCUAAGUGUUGGAGGGUUUCCGCCCUUCAGUGCUGCAGCAAACGCAUUAAGCACUCCGCCUGGGGAGUACGACCGCAAGGUUGAAACUCAAAGGAAUUGACGGGGGCCCGCACAAGCGGUGGAGCAUGUGGUUUAAUUCGAAGCAACGCGAAGAACCUUACCAGGUCUUGACAUCCUUUGACCACUCUAGAGAUAGAGCUUUCCCUUCGGGGACAAAGUGACAGGUGGUGCAUGGUUGUCGUCAGCUCGUGUCGUGAGAUGUUGGGUUAAGUCCCGCAACGAGCGCAACCCUCGCCCCGUGUUGCCAGCGGAUUAUGCCGGGAACUCACGGGGGACCGCCGGGGUUAACUCGGAGGAAGGUGGGGAUGACGUCAGAUCAUCAUGCCCCUUACGUCCAGGGCUUCACGCAUGCUACAAUGGCCGGUACAACGGGAUGCGACGCGGCGACGCGGAGCGGAUCCCUGAAAACCGGUCUCAGUUCGGAUCGCAGUCUGCAACUCGACUGCGUGAAGGCGGAGUCGCUAGUAAUCGCGAAUCAGCAACGUCGCGGUGAAUGCGUUCCCGGGCCUUGUACACACCGCCCGUCAAGUCAUGAAAGUGGGCAGCACCCGAAGCCGGUGGCCUAACCCCUUGUGGGAUGGAGCCGUCUAAGGUGAGGCUCGUGAUUGGGACUAAGUCGUAACAAGGUAGCCGUACCGGAAGGUGCGGCUG
rnacentral:rRNA from 1 species